UACAGAGGUCCCGAGCGUUGUUCGGAUUUAUUGGGCGUAAAGGGUGCGUAGGCGGCGGAGUAAGUUGGGUGUGAAAUCCCGGGGCUCAACCUCGGAAUGGCAUUCAAUACUGCUUCGCUAGAGUACUGGAGAGGAGGCUGGAAUUUACGGUGUAGCAGUGAAAUGCGUAGAUAUCGUAAGGAAGGCCGGUGGCGAAAGCGAGCCCCUGGACAGUUACUGACGCUGAUGCACGAAGGCCAGGGGAGCAAACGGG
rnacentral:rRNA from 1 species